rnacentral:lncRNA from 1 species
CUUCCUUGCACCAGCAGCCUGCUUGUGUCCUCGUGAUGCACGGUGAAGAGAAGGCUGGUGUUCUGUGAGUAAGCCUGCCAGCCGGGAGUAAUGGUUGUGGCCUUUUGGGCAAGCCUGUGAGGAGAGGUGUUUGGGCAGGCUGGUUGUUUUGCAGGGGAAGUGCCGUUUCAGUAGUUUGUUGCCAUGCUUGGGUGGUGCUUGUUUGACAAAUAGUCAUCCUCUAGACGAGCAGUGCUCUGGCGGCAGGGGAGUGAGAAAUGUCAUGUACAGCCAGUCUUCUCCACGAGCCUUACACUGCCUCUCCCCCAGUGUCUGUAAAUGGCUGUAGAAAUGGCAGGGGGAGAAAUGGGGAAGAGGGGAGGUGCAGUUUCUGUGCAUGCUGUGUCCACGGAGCAGGUGUCAGCUCCUAAGAGCUGGGAGCCCUGCAGAGCGUCCUGGGUUUGUUUUGCUUCCUUGUUGGAGCUGUUGGGAUGCUUUUGUGGGUGCUUUGUGCGUUUGAAGUCCCUGUGAACUCUGCUGAGACCAGUGGUGUCCUAGGGAGAGCCCCGCUGCCCCCUUUUUGUUGGGGCUGUUUUCUUCCCUCUGGAGGUUAAAAGGGCCUUCAGAAACCCAGCAGUACGACUUGCUGCUGCUCCAGCCUGUCAAGUGGAGAUGAUGAAGUGUGACGGCCAUUGGGGCAGGGAGGAAAGCAGCUAAGAAAUGGUGUUCCCGUAGACUGUGUGGAGCUUGUUGUUGUGAAACGGUCCCUUGUGCUGCCAGAAUCUCUCUGCCUUUCAGUCAUGGCCUCUUCCUCCUGGCUUUCAAGAUGUUCAGAGGCAUUGCUAAGAAAGAAAGAGCAGAGCUCUUCCUAGGCCAUGGCAGAGUUCACCUUUCCAGGUGUAUGCCAGAGCAUGAAGCAUGGUCAACAAGCACGGGGUAGCAGCAGCUGGAAACAGGGGAAGCUUCCACAGAGCCCCCCGCUGGAGUCCCAGGGUGAUGAGCUGAAGCUGAUUUGGGCAGCAUGAAACCCGGUGGUUUUCCGGGAUCUGUGCCGUAUAGGGCUCAGGGCUGUCACUGGGGUUGCUUUCACAGGAC